AUCUUGGACAAUGGGGGGAACCCUGAUCCAGCGAUGCCGCGUGAGUGAAGAAGGCCCUCGGGUCGUAAAGCUCUUUAGGCUGGGAAGAAGGUUAGAGGAGGAAAUGCCUUUAACUUGACGGUACCAGCAGAAUAAGCACCGGCAAACUCUGUGCCAGCAGCCGCGGUAAUACAGAGGGUGCGAGCGUUAAUCGGAGUAACUGGGCGUAAAGGGCGCGUAGGCGGUUUAGCGAGUGUGAUGUGAAAGCCCCGGGCUUAACCUGGGAAGUGCAUCGCAAACGGCUAGGCUAGAGUAGAUGAGAGGGUGAUGGAAUUUCCGGUGUAGCGGUGAAAUGCGUAGAGAUCGGAAGGAACGUCGAUGGCGAAGGCAGUCACCUGGCAUCAUACUGACGCUGAGGCGCGAAAGCGUGGGGAGCAAACAGG
rnacentral:rRNA from 1 species